GUCUCUGUGGUGCACCUGGUUAGCACAUCGGGUUGCUAACAGAAAGGUUGGUGGUUCAAACUCACCCAGGGAUA
rfam:Camelus ferus unplaced genomic scaffold scaffold444, whole genome shotgun sequence.